rnacentral:rRNA from 1 species
UGGGGAAUAUUGCACAAUGGGCGCAAGCCUGAUGCGGCAACGCCGCGUGAGGGACGACGGCCUUCGGGUUGUAAACCUCUUUUGGCAGGGAAGAAGCGAAAGUGACGGUACCUGCAGAAAAAGCACCGGCUAACUACGUGCCAGCAGCCGCGGUGAUACGUAGGGUGCAAGCGUUGUCCGGAAUUAUUGGGCGUAAAGAGCUCGUAGGCGGUUUGUCGCGUCUGCUGUGAAAACCCGAGGCUCAACCUCGGGCCUGCAGUGGGUACGGGCAAACUAGAGUGCGGUAGGGGAGAUUGGAAUUCCUGGUGUAGCGGUGGAAUGCGCAGAUAUCAGGAGGAACACCGAUGGCGAAGGCAGAUCUCUGGGCCGUAACUGACGCUGAGGAGCGAAAGCAUGGGGAGCGAACA